rnacentral:rRNA from 1 species
AUUGAACGCUGGCGGCAGGCCUAACACAUGCAAGUCGAGCGAGCGGCGGACGGGAGAGUUAUCUCUGGGAAUUGCACAGUCGAGGGGGAUAACAGGUGGACACGACUGCUAACACCACAUCAUCAUGGAUCGCCCAGGGGGGUUUAUCUAGUUGGGGAGGUAAUGGCUCACCAAGGCGACGAUCCCUAGCUGGUCUGAGAGGAUGAUCAGCCACACUGGAACUGAGACACGGUCCAGACUCCUACGGGAGGCAGCAGUGGGGAAUAUUGAACAAUGGGGGAAAGCCUGAUGCAGCCAUGCCGCGUGUGUGAAGAAGGCCUUCGGGUUGUAAAGCACUUUCAGCGAGGAGGCGUUACUCGCAGAAGAAGCACCGGCUAACUCCGUGCCAGCAGCCGCGGUAAUUC